AAUUUGCCCCACUGUGUUGAACUAUUCAAAGUGAUGAGGAAAACACUUGAAAUUGAUCUUGUUUUGAUUUGAAAUGCAGGUUCGCGACAGCUUCAUGAGACUUUGCUUUGUUUCCUCAUUUGAAAGUUUUGGCCGUCCGGUGUGUUCGUUUUUCGCAGACCGCGUGAGUUCGCUGCCGCCAUGUUCCAGUCCAGUAAAUUGCCUGCCCGGAUUGUGACCGUGAAGAUGAGCAUCGCCACAAGACUGCGUCCUCGGGCUCGGGCUCCGUAUGGCCAGCGGAAGGGCUUGGUCUCCCGGAUUCCCGGAUAGAAGCCAACUUUUGUGAUAAAGUUCCUUUCCGGACUAUUUGGAAGGAUGCGAAAGAGCUGCAGAUGCCGUACCAGGAAGCGGUGCCAGUGAGAAGCAAGAUUCGGAUGCAGGGGCCAAGCUAUGCGUCAUUCGGAUGGUCAAGGCACAGUUUGAGUCGAUGGAACCACCGCGGUUCUACCAAAGAGAAUUCCGCAUCAACAAGAAGAUUCUCCAGUGGCCUCCAUCUCCGCCGGCUCCGGUGCUUCACUCGCCGACGCUGAGGAACCUCCCAGGAAGCAGUGGUGGUGUCGGGACAACCGGAUGAAAAAAAUUACAAAAUUUUUACACACCAAGUUGUUCUUGAAGUUAGAAAAUAAAAGCAGCCAAAAAAA